rnacentral:lncRNA from 1 species
UUUAUAUUUAAUGUUUGUUAUUUGAAACUAUUAUAUAUGUAUUUUUGUAUUUAAUGUGAUUGUAUUUACUUUUUUACAUUAUUAACUUUUUUAACAGAAUAAUUAUGAUGUGCAAUGAGAAUUUUUUUGUGAUGAGUUUAAGAGCUAUAAACCAAUAUUAUUGAAGUCCUAAUAAACAAUUGAUAUCAUAAGGAGGUUGAAUUAUAAACCGAUGUUAAUCUAAUGGCAACAUCAUCAUAAAGAAGUUGGUGGCUUAAAAUUGAUAAAGAAGAGGUUGGACCUCCAAUUUAUUUUCUCCUACCCUUCUAACCAUGUGGGGUAAAUUUUUAUCUCAAAAUCACACCUUUCUGCGGCGCCUAUUCAAUUUUCUUUUUCAUCUUUGUAACAAUCAACUUAAAACUCUUGGGUUCACAUUUUAUGAUCAAUGAAUGAGAUCCAUAAGGUAUAAAAGAGAAUUAUCUCUCAUUUGAUGUUUAAGAUUAUCAGAAUUUGAAUUAUGAUUACUAAAAUUAAAAUCCAAUACUUCAUCAACAGAUCACAUAAUUAUAUUGAUAAAAAAUAAAAAAUAUUUAUGCUUAUUGUGAGAUUUGAAUCUUGACAAACUUCCUUUAAGGUAAGAUAUUAUCAAGUGAAACUUUAGAUUUUAAAUAUCAUAUACAGAGGCGGAUCUACAUACAUUUAGGUAGGCCGUUUAUGAACGCUUCACAAAUUAAAAAAUAAGAAAAUUUUAAGGGAAAUUUUCUUAACACUCUCAAAAUUUGGAUGCAGUUCCUUAAUUCUACCAACUCUGAGAUGCCAUUCAACAGAUUUUUAAAUGUGAUGCAGAUGUAUAGAAUUGGUCACCAGCAUGGACAAUCUGCAAAAAUCUUCUCUCCUCUUAUUUUCUCAUUUUGACAAUUAGAAAUCAGCAUUUAUUCGAUUAUUAGUAUUACGGUUCCAUUAUGUCCCUUAAUUUAUCUCUUUUCUCACAUUGGUUUUCUUUACUUGACUAGAAUUUUCUGGUUAUUUUUUUCUUUAAUGAUGUGGAAAGCAAUAGAUUCUAAUAUAUUUCUCGAGAAAAUAAUCAGAAUAUAUCAUUUUUUUAAUUCUAAUCUAUCUUUGAAUCUCUUUAUCUUUAUAUCACUACAAGAAAAUUGUUCAACACUAAUGGCUUUUUACCGAUGAAAAUUUUUCAUCUGUAUUUAUUGAUGGAUAAUAAAUAUAAAAUUACCAUGAAAUUACCGACGAAAUUCUAAUAGAAUAUUGAUGGAAUUUACUGACAGAAAAAAAAUUUGUCGAUAUUCUGUAUGUGAUGAUGGCACAAGAAUUUGGGAAAUUGGCACGGAAAUUAUCGAAGGAAAAAAUCCAUUGGUAAAACCUACGGAUUAUUGGCAAAUUUUUUUCUUAGAUAAAGAAUUUUCUAAAAAAAUACUAAAAAAUUUUUCAAUAUAAAAUAAAUGGAAUUAAUUAAAAAUUUUAGAUUACCGAUGGAAUUUUCAUCAGUAAUCCAUUAGUGAAAGCAAUUAAAAAUUUUGGAUUAUUCCGUCGGUAAUCCAUCGGUGAAAGCAACUAAAAUCAAAAUCCUCAAUUCUUUUUUUUCCUCUUUCGACAGAGACCCUAAAUUUCUAAAAGCCCCACCUGCCAUCUCCUCUCUUCCUCUUUUCUCCUCGCCUAUUCGAUCGUCGUUGCCAUUCCGUUGUGAAGUCAUACCGCUAGUUCCUUUUCCCUCUGCCACCAAUUUUUUUUCCCUUUUCGUUGGUUCCUUCUCCUUUAUCGUUCUGUUGGUUGUUCUUUUCUCUCUCUCAUG